rnacentral:rRNA from 1 species
CCUACGGGAGGCAGCAGUGGGGAAUAUUGGACAAUGGGCGCAAGCCUGAUCCAGCCAUACCGCGUGUGUGAAGAAGGCCUUUUGGUUGUAAAGCACUUUAAGCGAGGAGGAGGCUCUUGAGGAUAAUACCCUUGAUGAGUGGACGUUACUCGCAGAAUAAGCACCGGCUAACUCUGUGCCAGCAGCCGCGGUAAUACAGAGGGUGCGAGCGUUAAUCGGAAUUACUGGGCGUAAAGCGCGCGUAGGCGGCUUGUUAAGUCGGAUGUGAAAUCCCCGGGCUCAACCUGGGCACUGCAUUCGAUACUGGCAAGCUAGAGUAUGGGAGAGGAAGGUAGAAUUCCAGGUGUAGCGGUGAAAUGCGUAGAGAUCUGGAGGAAUACCGAUGGCGAAGGCAGCCUUCUGGCCUAAUACUGACGCUGAGGUGCGAAAGCAUGGGGAGCAAACAGGAUUAGAUACCCUGGUAGUCCAUGCCGUAAACGAUGUCAACUAGCCGUUGGGGACCUUGAGUCUUUAGUGGCGCAGCUAACGCGAUAAGUUGACCGCCUGGGGAGUCGGUGCAAGCUUAAAACNGAAAGAUUGACGGNNGAGAGNGCGAGCGACACGAGGGAGAG